AGAGUUUGAUCCUGGCUCAGGAUGAACGCUAGCGGGAGGCCUAACACAUGCAAGUCGAACGGGAUUGGUAGCAAUACCAUGAGAGUGGCGCACGGGUGAGUGCACGGGUGAGUAACGCGUAUGCAACCUACCUGUAACAGAGGGAUAGCCCAUAGAAAUGUGGAUUAAUAUCUCAUAGUUCUUUUGUUCCGCAUGGGACGAAAGAUAAAGCUCCGGCGGUUACAGAUGGGCAUGCGUGACAUUAGCUAGUUGGUAAGGUAACGGCUUACCAAGGCUACGAUGUCUAGGGGUUCUGAGAGGAUGAUCCCCCACACUGGUACUGAGACACGGACCAGACUCCUACGGGAGGCAGCAGUGAGGAAUAUUGGUCAAUGGGCGCAAGCCUGAACCAGCCAUCCCGCGUGCAGGAUGACGGCCCUAUGGGUUGUAAACUGCUUUUAUACGGGAGCAAUAAGGUCUACGAGUAGGCCGAUGAGAGUACCGUAGGAAUAAGCACCGGCUAACUCCGUGCCAGCAGCCGCGGUAAUACGGAGGGUGCAAGCGUUAUCCGGAUUUAUUGGGUUUAAAGGGUGCGUAGGCGGUCUAUUAAGUCAGCGGUGAAAGUUUUCAGCUCAACUGUGGGAGUGCCAUUGAUACUGAAAAGCUUGAGUACAGUUGAGGUAAGCGGAAUGUGUAGUGUAGCGGUGAAAUGCUUAGAUAUUACACAGAACACCGAUUGCGAAGGCAGCUUACUAAACUGUUACUGACGCUGAUGCACGAAAGCGUGGGGAUCGAACAGGAUUAGAUACCCUGGUAGUCCACACUGUAAACGAUGAUAACUCGCUGUCGGCGAUACACAGUUCGCGACUGAGCGAAAGCAUUAAGUUAUCCACCUGGGGAGUACGACCGCAAGGUUGAAACUCAAAGGAAUUGACGGGGGCCCGCACAAGCGGAGGAACAUGUGGUUUAAUUCGAUGAUACGCGAGGAACCUUACCCGGGCUCGAACGGUGCAGGAAUAUGGUAGAGAUAUCAUAGCUAGCAAUAGUCUGUAUCGAGGUGCUGCAUGGUUGUCGUCAGCUCGUGCCGUGAGGUGUCGGCUUAAGUGCCAUAACGAGCGCAACCCUUGUCGUUAGUUGCCAUCAAGUAAUGUUGGGGACUCUAGCGAGACUGCCACCGUAAGGUGUGAGGAAGGGGGGGAUGACGUCAAAUCAGCACGGCCCUUACGUCCGGGGCGACACACGUGUUACAAUGGUAGGUACAGAGGGCCGCUAUCCAGCGAUGGAAUGCUAAUCUCAAAAACCUAUCUCAGUUCGGAUCGAAGUCUGCAACCCGACUUCGUGAAGCUGGAUUCGCUAGUAAUCGCAUAUCAGCCAUGAUGCGGUGAAUACGUUCCCGGGCCUUGUACACACCGCCCGUCAAGCCAUGGAAGCUGGGGGUGCCUGAAGUUCGUGACCGCAAGGAGCGGCCUAGGGUAAAACUAGUAACUGGGGUUAAGUCGUAACAAGGUAACCC
rnacentral:rRNA from 1 species